rnacentral:lncRNA from 1 species
GAGGACCUUAGACACCACUACACACAUGACUCAUUGGUUUCUUCUCUUUUGCUCCUCUGCUCCAUUAAAUAGAACUAGAAAGAGUUUUAGAAGAAUUCAUAAUUAAUUUGUGCUGAUCAGGAGCUAGAGUUUGUUCUCAUCUCUGUGCUCAAAAUAAAUGUAUGCAGUCAUAUAUCUAAAACUGAUAACAGUAUUUCCAAUGAUAAAAAUCAACAAAGAUAUUACUGCCAAUGUUGUCAACAUUCUUUCUUUUUCCUCUUCCUGAAGCAGUCUCUUCCCGUGAAACUGAUUGUGCCUCACUUAUCCAUUGUCCUUUGAUGAAUUUCAGUUGCAGAUCUCUUUCUAGAAAAUGACAGUUUCAGUCACUCAAUAUGAAGUUCUUGGAACAGUUAAGAUGACAUGGGUCAUGAAUUCGGAAAGGGAAUUAUGAGAAACCAACGCAGGAGAGAGAAUACCCUUUCCAUGUGCUACAGAGAACUCUCACUGUCAUGGCGCAAGGGAAAAUAACCAUUGGAGAUCUUGAAAAGUCGAUAUCUGGCAUCUGGCAAUUGUCUUGUCCAGAGUCAUUUGAGCAUUAUUAUUUUCAACCAUGUAUAACCUCUGCUGACUCAAGAACACAGUCAAAUGCAUCAGGAAGGAAGAAGACAUUCAGCCCUGCAGCUUGCCUGGGGUUAACCGCAUACAUUUUCAAACUAGUUCAUAGAAGAGUUCCCCCAGCAUUGGGGAAAACAUUUACUAAUGGUACUGAAAGGUAAAAUAAUUAUUUUUCUUUUUUUCUAUUGGGAUUCUCCCCAUUCUUUCCAUGUCAUGUGUUGCCACUCUGGGGACUGUAGAUUUUGCAGCCAUGGUUUCCUCAAGUAAAGCUGAUGUAAGAUGAAACGAAGAAUGUGGGCUUUCCAUGUGGAUUUAGAAUAGAAAGAAGGAAUAUGUAAUUUAUUCAAGCUGAACAUUUUCGAAAUAUAUAUUUUUGCUCUGAAAGUUAUACUCACAUUCCUUUAAUUUAUUCUACAGUGGAUCUUAUGCUGCUAGAAUUUGAUAUUGAUGUAGAAAGGGGUGAAAGUACAUAUGUGCUGUGACUAAAACCCUCAAAAUAAUUUAUAUUAUGUUGGUGUUUGACACUUCACUUAUGCUUAUGUUGAAAAAUGUCUUUGUGCCUAUCAAAUUUGUUUUAUUUUUUAACACAUUUUUAUAUAUGUCAAAGUAGAAUUUUGAACCAAUACUCAUUACCAAGUUUGCAGGCUCGUGUUCAUUUCCAAUUUGUGCCUGUACAGAAUAACUUUAAGAUGAAAUAAAUCUCUGGUCUGGGAGGUCAGCUAGUCUGUAAAUGCAAGAGUACAACGUAUUCUAUUUUUAUAUGAUUUAGUGGUUUUAAACUGACAUCAGUGUACAAUUCAUAAAGUGUAUUUGUAAAUUGGUAAACUAAGUUUCAUACAAUCAUUAAUAUUUUCCUUUUUUCAACAAGAAACAUUUGCAAUAGAAAAAACGAUAUUAUCCAAAGACAAUUCCCCCAAAUUGAAGAAAUUCAUACCUAUAACUCAGUUCUAAUACUUGGGUUAAAAUACUCUUUCACAUAUGAUAGUGUUAAUUGUAAUGAUUAAGCACUGUUGAAUACUCCUUAUGCAUUUUGAAAAUAGUUCUUUAAUUUUUUCUCUAUCAUGUUAUAAGGGUUGUGAAGAUUAAUUUUAAAAUUAGAUUCCCAAUGUCAUGACCUUAUAAAGUAUAUCUAACUCCUGUACGACUCAGUGUGUAUGUUGCUUUUAAAGUAGUAGAGUUGCAUGUAUAUAGACAACAUGAAGAGUCCAAUGGAUAAAAAUUAACACUGUUGACUAUGUUAUGAGUAUAGAGACUCAAGACUAUGUAUAUUCAGGCACAAUCUAAUGAUGACCAAUCUUAUUUAUGUUUAAAAUUUUGAUUGAUCUCAAAUAUAAUACAUUUAAACAUUAUUUCUAUACAAUAUAUUUUGCUCAUAUUUUCCUCACCUGUCUACCCAACCUCAUAUCUGUUCCUCUUCCUCAUAAGAAAAAAAUCAAAGCAAGCUCAAAAAAAUAUCUAGUAAGACCACACCAAAACAGUAGAGAACAGAACAAAAAAAAUCAGAGCAUCAUGUUAUAAAUAAACUUUGUUCCAUGAUACAUUCAAGAACAGUUUUAUUAGGAAAGAGUUUUCAUACCUGUGUCUUAAAGAAGGUUAAAUAAUCCAUUGCUCUAUGACCACUCUAUUUUUCUUAAUUUACUGGUUGUUUUUCCAACAUUAUUGUAAGGAUGAUGAAUUGUUGGCCAUCUCAGAGCUCCUAUAACAUGACUAAAUGUUUACAGAUGACCAUGAAUAUUCAUUCUAUCAAGCAAUGAUUCCUGAUUCCGGUUGCACAUACAAACUGGAUAUGUAACAAAAAAAAAAAAAAACAAAA